rnacentral:rRNA from 1 species
GAUGAACGCUGGCGGCGUGCCUAAUACAUGCAAGUCGAGCGAACAGAUAAGGAGCUUGCUUCUUUGACGUUAGCGGCGGACGGGUGAGUAACACGUGGGUAACCUACCUAUAAGACUGGGAUAACUUCGGGAAACCGGAGCUAAUACCGGAUAACAUUUGGAACCGCAUGGUUCUAAAGUGAAAGAUGGUUUUGCUAUCACUUAUAGAUGGACCCGCGCCGUAUUAGCUAGUUGGUAAGGUAACGGCUUACCAAGGCGACGAUACGUAGCCGACCUGAGAGGGUGAUCGGCCACACUGGAACUGAGACACGGUCCAGACUCCUACGGGAGGCAGCAGUAGGGAAUCUUCCGCAAUAGGCGAAAGCCUGACGGAGCAACGCCGCGUGAGUGAUGAAGGGUUUCGGCUCGUAAAACUCUGUUAUUAGGGAAGAACAAAUGUGUAAGUAACUGUGCACGUCUUGACGGUACCUAAUCAGAAAGCCACGGCUAACUACGUG